ACAAAACAUAAGGCCUCAAACCAAUAGUCUACACAGAAAAGUACGUAAUGCCGUUUGUUUCAUUUAUAACGCAAAAAACAGUAGUCAUGGCAGAUGCUUUUUCAAGUUUUCCUAAGCAUGUAGCGGCAAGAAUCAGAAUUCAUGAUCAUGAUUGAUAUUGUAGCAGACACAAGCAUAACUUACCUGGGUUAUUCACAAGUGUUGUA
rnacentral:misc_RNA from 1 species